UCUCAAAUAUAAAUCCGAUAUUUUCAGAUCCUUUGUUCGCAGAAGAAUUGUGAGAUAGAAUUGUGGAUUAAAUUUGUCUCAAUUUUGGCCAACUUAAUGCUUAAUCCUUCUUUUUAAUUUAAUUGUAACGAAUUUAAAUGUUAAGCGAUGAAUGGAAGAAAUGUUUUGAAGAUCGGAGGCAUACUGAAUUCAGGUUAUGUUAACUGUUAAUCAUAGCGAUAAUUUCGUUGAUUCGAAACUGGUGCAAAUAUUCAAGA